rnacentral:rRNA from 1 species
GACAGAGGGUGCAAACGUUGUUCGGAAUUACUGGGCGUAAAGCGUGUGUAGGCGGUCCUGUAAGUCGGGUGUGAAAGCCCUGGGCUCAACCCAGGAAGUACACUCGAAACGGCGAGACUAGAGUCCUGGAGAGGGUCGUGGAAUUCCCGGUGUAGCGGUGAAAUGCGUAGAGAUCGGGAGGAACACCAGCGGCGAAGGCGGCGACCUGGACAGGAACUGACACUCAACUACGAAAGCGUGGGGAGCAAACAGGG